CCAGACUCCUACGGGAGGCAGCAGUGAGGAAUAUUGGUCAAUGGGCGGGAGCCUGAACCAGCCAAGCCGCGUGAGGGAAGAAGGUACAGCGUAUCGUAAACCUCUUUUGCCAGGGAACAAAGGCGGGGACUAGUCCCCGGAUGAGGGUACCUGAAGAAAAAGCAUCGGAUAACUCCGUGCCAGCAGCCGCGGUAAUACGGAGGAUGAGAGCGUUAUCCGGAUUUAUUGUGUUUAAAGGGGGCGUGGGGGGGCUGUGAUGUCAGGGGUAAACGCGGGGGUCACACCCCGGGCGAGCCGUUGAAACUGGCUGUCUUGAGAUGUCGAGAGGUAUGCGGAAUGCGCAGUGUAGCGGUGAAAUGCUUAGAUAUUGCGCAGAACUCCGAUUGCGAAGGCAGCAUACCGGCGGCGAUCUGACGCUGAGGCACGAAAGCGUGGGUAUCGAACAGGAUUAGAUACCCCAGUA
rnacentral:rRNA from 1 species